CUGCAAUGAUGCAUUGUAUCUGAUAAGACAGGUGUGUGGAAAACUAAUAACUGAGCACA
rnacentral:snoRNA from 1 species